rnacentral:lncRNA from 1 species
GUUGGUGUGGUGAGUGGUGUAGUGUAAUUUCUAGAGAUGUUCUGAUUGGUGGAAGGGGCUGGGAAUUGGUUUAGUUUGUUCUCAACCACAUUCGGACUGUUUUUGCUGUGGAUGACAAAUAAAUUUAUUUAUUUUGUAAACCUCUGACCAACAAGAUUUUAUUUAAUGAGGUUUUUCUGCUCUGAUAGCACAAAAACAAUUUCUGUGGCCUCAUGAAUUGAAAUGGUUCUCAAAUUGUGAAUAUUAUUUGGAUUUCUGGCCAUUUGGAGGAAUUGCUCAAGGUUGAAUUUAUUUUGUCCUCGCUAUCUCGCGAUCAGGGUUGGGCUGUGACCUCCUGAGCCCGAAAAAAAUAGUCAAAUCGCCAUCGAAGAGCAGCAGGCCGGUGGUCAGAAGGCCCCCAGUAGCGACAAGUGUGCCUUCUGCGACGACGACAGAUGCGGAUGAGGAGAGAGCUCCAGUCGACCCCAAGGAGGUCGAGGCUGAGAUUUAUCCGAUCUUUGAGACUGCGAGAGAGACGCUGCUUGCAAACUCGGCAUUACAAGAGAAGCUGGCUCUGAAUAUCAACCACAUCAUGAGCAGCAGUGAAAUAUGCAGCAGUACCUUGGCUGAAGACCCGGUACUCGCAGUGGAACAAGCACAGGACAGCUCAGCAGAGAUGGAGCACAACUCUUUGAACGAAUCGCCGGAUGUUCCGACAUGGUCGAGGAUUGUGGAAGAACUAAAGUCGAAACAAAAUUGAAGAAACAAAUAAGGAAACACCAACAGCAGUAUAGAAGCGAGAGCGAG